GACAGAGGGUGCAAACGUUUGUUCGGAAUUACUGGGCGUAAAGCGCGUGUAGGCGGUCGGGCAAGUCGGGUGUGAAAGCCCAGGGCUCAACCCUGGAAGUGCAUUCGAUACUGCCUGGCUAGAGUCCCGGAGAGGAUGGUGGAACUCUCGGUGUAGAGGUGAAAUUCGUAGAUAUCGAGAAGAACACCGGGUGGCGAAGGCGGCCAUCUGGACGGUGACUGACGCUGAGACGCGAAAGCGUGGGGAGCAAACAGG
rnacentral:rRNA from 1 species